rnacentral:rRNA from 1 species
GACGUAGGUGGCGAACGUUAUCCGGAAUUACUGGGCGUAAAGCGUGCGCAGGCGGUUAUGUAAGACAGAUGUGAAAUCCCCGGGCUCAACCUGGGAACUGCAUUUGUGACUGCAUAGCUAGAGUACGGUAGAGGGGGAUGGAAUUCCGCGUGUAGCAGUGAAAUGCGUAGAUAUGCGGAGGAACACCGAUGGCGAAGGCAAUCCCCUGGACCUGUACUGACGCUCAUGCACGAAAGCGUGGGGAGCAAACAGG